AACGAACGCUGGCGGCAUGCCUAACACAUGCAAGUCGAACGAGACCUUCGGGUCUAGUGGCGCACGGGUGCGUAACGCGUGGGAACCUGCCCUUAGGUUCGGAAUAACUCCCCGAAAGGGGUGCUAAUACCGGAUAAUGUCUUCGGACCAAAGAUUUAUCGCCUUUGGAUGGGCCCGCGUUGGAUUAGCUAGUUGGUAGGGUAAAAGCCUACCAAGGCGACGAUCCAUAGCUGGUCUGAGAGGAUGAUCAGCCACACUGGGCCUAAGACACGGCCCAGACUCCUACGGAAGGCAGCAGUGGGGAAUAUUGGACAAUGGGCGAAAGCCUGAUCCAGCAAUGCCGCGUGAGUGAUGAAGGCCUUAGGGUUGUAAAGCUCUUUUACCCGGGAUGAUAAUGACAGUACCGGGAGAAUAAGCUCCGGCUAACUCCGUG
rnacentral:rRNA from 1 species